UACGUAGGGGGCAAGCGUUGUCCGGAAUCAUUGGGCGUAAAGCGCGUGUAGGCGGCCAGGUAAGUCCGUUCUGAAAGCCCGGGGCUCAACCCCGGGAGGCGGAUGGAUACUGCUUGGCUCGAGUCCGGAAGAGGCGAGUGGAAUUCCCGGUGUAGCGGUGAAAUGCGCAGAUAUCCGGAGGAACACCGGUGGCGAAGGCGGCUUCCUGGACCGACACUGACGCUGAGGCGCGAAAGCUAGGGGAGCAAACGGG
rnacentral:rRNA from 1 species